rnacentral:rRNA from 1 species
UACGGAGGGUGCGAGCGUUGUCCGGAAUUAUUGGGCGUAAAGAGCUUGUAGGCGGUGUGUCGCGUCUGCUGUGAAAAUCCGGGGCUCAACCCCGGACUUGCAGUGGGUACGGGCAGACUAGAGUGUGGUAGGGGAGACUGGAAUUCCUGGUGUAGCGGUGGAAUGCGCAGAUAUCAGGAGGAACACCGAUGGCGAAGGCAGGUCUCUGGGCCAUUACUGACACUGAGAAGCGAAAGCAUGGGGAGCGAACAGG